UUAUGCUUAUGGGUUUUUUGCAUGAUCAGGCUGGAGACUUAGAAGCAACAGAUGGAAAACCAAGCACCACCAACUUGUCAAUGGCUGCAACAAACGUAGCAGAGAAUUCAAUAUGGGUGGGAUGGGUGGUAAACGCAGUGUAAUCUUCUUUCUUUUCGAAUGUCAUCAAGAAGGCAUGAGUGAAUCCUUGUCUAAGCAUCUCUUCACUUUCUAUGUCUUGUCCCCUGUUACAACAGUUUCAGUUCAUGUUUCCAGUUAUUCAGUUCUUGACAUAAACAUCCUAAUCAAAUUUUAAAGGACAAAAACACUUCUACAACGAGGAAGUAUUUGCUCAAUGAAGGAGCAUUAAAUACAAGCAUGCAAAAUGAUCUAAAUGAUUAAAA